UACGUAGGGUGCGAGCGUUGUCCGGAAUUAUUGGGCGUAAAGGGCUCGUAGGCGGUCUGUCGCGUCAGGAGUGAAAACUCGGGGCUUAACCCCGAGCCUGCUUCUGAUACGGGCAGACUAGAGGUAUGCAGGGGAGAACGGAAUUCCUGGUGUAGCGGUGAAAUGCGUAGAUAUCAGGAGGAAUACCGGUGGCGAAAGCGACUCUCUGGACGGCAACUGACGCUGAGGCACGAAAGCGUGGGGAGCAAACAGG
rnacentral:rRNA from 1 species